CGGGGUGCAGCAGGCGCGAAAACUUUGCAAUGCGGGAAACCGUGACAAGGGAACUCUGAGUGCCCGUUAAAUCGGGCUGUCCAUCGGUUUAAAUAACCGGUGAAGAAAGGGCCGGGCAAGACCGGUGCCAGCCGCCGCGGUAAUACCGGCGGCUCGAGUGGUGGCCACUAUUACUGGGCUUAAAGCGUUCGUAGCUGGUUUGUUAAGUCUCUGGGGAAAUCUUCCGGCUUAACCGGAAGGCGUCUCAGGGAUACUGGCAGACUAGGGACCGGGAGAGGUGAGAGGUACUCCAGGGGUAGGAGUGAAAUCCUGUAAUCCUUGGGGGACCACCUGUGGCGAAGGCGUCUCACCAGAACGGCUCCGACAGUGAGGGACGAAAGCUGGGGGAGCAAACCGGAUUAGAUACCCGGGUAGUCCCAGCUGUAAACGAUGCGCGUUAGGUGUAUCGGUGACCACGAGUCACCGAGGUGCCGAAGGGAAAUCGUGAAACGUGCCGCCUGGGAAGUACGGUCGCAAGGCUGAAACUUAAAGGAAUUGGCGGGGGAGCACAAGGGCGAUUCGCG
rnacentral:rRNA from 1 species